rnacentral:lncRNA from 1 species
GCUACCUUGCUAUUUAGGAGUAUGUGUCCCUGCUCUCCUCCUCAACCCCAGGUGUUUUCUCUUAGUAAUUGUCCAUCCACUGCACCCAGCCUGCCCCUCUGCAGUUUGUCUGCAAACCUCCACUUAUCCCUGGAGUUGAAUCCAAUCUCACCCCACAUUGGGGUGGUCCCUGUACCUAUCUAUCACCACAGCCCCACUUCAAUCUUGACAAAGCAGCCUCACCAUCUUGUACAAGAAUCAGGAAUAUAAUUUUUCUUUAACGUUGGAAGUAAUAAAACUUCUGAGGGCACUGAGUGACAUCUUUGUUGUCACUCAGUCACCGCAAUCUAGUGUAAUUCCCAGGUGCGGGCAAUACACAAGUGAGUUGAAUAGCCCGUGACUUUGGCCAGGGUCCAGGUGGAUCUGCUUGGAUUGAUCUGUUACUUUACCACCGAGUCACAUCCCCAGCCCUUUACUUUUCAUUCUGAGAGGUUCUCACCAAGUUGCUUAGGACCUCGCUUAAUUGGUGAGGGGACACACUUCAUUAGGGUAGACCUGCGUAAGAGAAUGGCAAACUCAAACCAGGAAACGCUAGGACUAGACCGAAAGGACCACAAUUCCUCCUGAAACCCUUUGUUUGGACUGGAGUAAGAGAAAAGAGACACAAGGACUUUAAGAAUCCUCAAGACUGAAGAGAAAAAUACCAAACUAGACACACGUGAAAACACUUCGGAGAAGAAUGUUCGAACGCACGCCCUAGCACCUGACAGCAAGACAACCAAACGAAAGAAGAAUAAGAGAAAAAGACACUGGCAAGAAACACAUAGCCAGUUUGAGUCUAACAUUAAAACCAGACGUCAAGAUCCCCGAGAGGGGUGCACCGUUCCUGGAGGUACUGCAAUACCAGGUCGAUGCGUGGAGUGGACGGAGCAAGCUCCUAUUCCAACUCCCUGCUCCAAAAGUCCAUUUAAUAUAUUGUCCUCGGAUAGAGGACGUAUCAGAUAUUAAACUGAUAAGAACAGAUACUACACUUGAUCUUAGCCAAAAGGCCGAGAAGCGAUACCGUACCACUCGCCCUUCGCCCUC